rnacentral:rRNA from 1 species
GACGAACGCUGGCGGCGUGCCUAAUACAUGCAAGUCGAACGCAGUGGGGACGGGUGAGUAACACGUGGGUAACCUCCCAUCAGAGGGGAUAACACUUGGAAACAGGUGCUAAACCGAUACUGAUGGAUGGACCCGCGGUGCAUUAGCUAGUUGGUGAGGUAACGGCGCACCAAGGCGACGAUGCAUAGCCGGCCUGAGAGGAGGAUCGGCCACACUGGGACUGAGACACGGCCCAGACUCCUACGGGAGGCAGCAGUUGGGAAUCUUGGGCAAUGGACGAAAGCCUGACCGAGCAACGCCGCGUGAGUGAAGAAGGUUUUCGGAUUGUAAAGCUCUGUUGUUAGAGAAGCGGUAUCUAACCAGAAAGCCACGGCUAACUACGUGCCAGCAGCCGCGGUAAUUC